rnacentral:rRNA from 1 species
AACGCGAAGAACCUUACCUACUUUUGACAUCCUCAGAAGUCUGCAGAGAUGCGGAUGUGCCUUUGGGAACUGAGAGACAGGUGCUGCAUGGCUGUCGUCAGCUCGUGUCGUGAGAUGUUGGGUUAAGUCCCGUAACGAGCGCAACCCUUUUCAUUAGUUGCCAUCGGGUGAUGCCGGGAACUCUAAUGAGACUGCCGGUGAUAAGCCGGAGGAAGGCGGGGACGAGGUCAAGUCAUCAUGGCCCUUACGAGUAGGGCUACACACGUGCUACAAUGGCUGGUACAGAGGGAAGCGAAGCAGUGAUGUGGAGCGAAUCUUAUGAAAGCCAGUCGUAGUCCGGAUUGGAGUCUGCAACUCGACUCCAUGAAGUUGGAAUCGCUAGUAAUCGCGGAUCAGAACGCCGCGGUGAAUACGUUCCCGGGCCUUGUACACACCGACAUA